rnacentral:rRNA from 1 species
UACGGGGGGGGCAAGCGUUGUUCGGAAUUACUGGGCGUAAAGGGCUCGUAGGCGGCCAACUAAGUCAGACGUGAAAUCCCUCGGCUUAACCGGGGAACUGCGUCUGAUACUGGAUGGCUUGAGUUUGGGAGAGGGAUGCGGAAUUCCAGGUGUAGCGGUGAAAUGCGUAGAUAUCUGGAGGAACACCGGUGGCGAAGGCGGCAUCCUGGACCGAGAUUGACGCUGAACAGCGAAAGCUAGGGGAGCAAACGGG